CCUACGGGGGGCAGCAGUGAGGAAUAUUGGUCAAUGGACGAGAGUCUGAACCAGCCAAGUAGCGUGAAGGAUGACUGCCCUAUGGGUUGUAAACUUCUUUUAUAUGGGAAUAAAACGUUCCACGUGUGGGAUUUUGUAUGUACCAUAUGAAUAAGGAUCGGCUAACUCCGUACCAGCAGCCGCGGUAAUACGGAGGAUCCGAGCGUUAUCCGGAUUUAUUGGGUUUAAAGGGAGCGUAGGUGGAUUGUUAAGUCAGUUGUGAAAGUUUGCGGCUCAACCGUAAAAUUGCAGUUGAAACUGGCAGUCUUGAGUACAGUAGAGGUGGGCGGAAUUCGUGGUGUAGCGGUGAAAUGCUGAGAUAUCACGAAGAACUCCGAUUGCGAAGGCAGUUCACUGGACUGCAACUGACACUGAGGCUCGAAAGUGUGGGUAUCAAACAGGAUUAGAUACCCGAGUAGUC
rnacentral:rRNA from 1 species